rnacentral:rRNA from 1 species
AGGAAUCAUGGACUUACGACCAGGGCUACACACGUGCUACAAUGGCAUAUACAAAGAGAAGCGACCUCGCGAGAGCAAGCGGACCUCAUAAAGUAUGUCGUAGUCCGGAUUGGAGUCUGCAACUCGACUCCAUGAAGUCGGAAUCGCUAGUAAUCGUAGAUCAGAAUGCUACGGUGAAUACGUUCCCGGGCCUUGUACACACCGCCCGUCACACCAUGGGAGUGGGUUGCAAAAGAAGUAGGUAGCUUAACCUUCGGGAGGGCGCUUACCACUUUGUGAUUCAUGACUGGGGUGAAGUCGUAACAAGGUAACCGUAGGGGAACCUGCGGUUGAUCCACCUCCUCAAA